UACGUAGGGUGCGAGCGUUGUCCGGAAUUAUUGGGCGUAAAGAGCUUGUAGGCGGUCUGUCGCGUCUGCUGUGAAAAUCCGGGGCUCAACCCCGGACUUGCAGUGGGUACGGGCAGACUAGAGUGUGGUAGGGGAGACUGGAAUUCCUGGUGUAGCGGUGAAAUGCGCAGAUAUCAGGAGGAACACCGAUGGCGAAGGCAGGUCUCUGGGCCACUACUGACGCUGAGAAGCGAAAGCAUGGGGAGCGAACAG
rnacentral:rRNA from 1 species